CAGCUUCCCAGUAACACAAGUACAGCAACUGGCCACAAGGUGACAUGUAUUUAUUGUUUUGUUUCGGCAAGAAGAAUCCGUGUACAAUGCUGCUGCAAUGUGGGUGAGCGAAAACAAAACGGGCACGGGAGGCGUGGAAAUCCAAGAAUAUGAUGCUUACCAAGUUCCAGGGGAACCUAGGGGAUUCCUGUUCUUCCUACAGCUUUGCACUCUCUCAGUACUGCACUGGAGCAUCAGCCCUUUGAGGAGGGAAAAAUAAGACAUUUUUAUUUCAACCUUUGGAUAUUGGAGUCCUUCCUACAAAGGUAUUCCUGAUCUAAAUUCUUCAGAACUCAGCUCCCUGUUCCACGAGGCUGACUCGUCUCUGCGAUGAACUGAGGCUGUGGGCUGCAACAGGCUCCUGGACCGGCUGUGACUGGUUUCGUGGCUGUGGACUCACUUUCAUGAACUUCAGUUCCAGUUGUUACUUGCUUUCUUUUAUGGUUUAUGCGGUUUGUUUUUCUCCUGCACAUUGGGUGUUCGACAGUCAAUUUUUAAAAGGAGUUCUGUUGUUUUGUGACUGCCUGUAAGGGGAUGAAUCUCAAGCUUAUAUUCCGUAUACAUACUUAAAUAAUAAAUGUACUUUGUAUUUAUGUGUG